AACGAACGCUGGCGGCAUGCCUAACACAUGCAAGUCGAACGAGACCUUCGAGUCUAGUGGCGCACGGGUGCGUAACGCGUGGGAACCUGCCCUUGGGUUCGGAAUAACUCCCCGAAGGGGGUGUUAAUACCGGUUAAUGUCUUCGGACAAAGGAUUUAUCGCAUUUGGAUGGGCCCGCGUUGGUUUAGCUUGUUGGUGGGGUAAAAGCAUCCCAGGGCGACGAUCCUUCGCUGGUCUGUGAGGAUGAACAGCCACACUGGGACUGGGACACGGCCCAGACCCCUAGGGGGGGCAGCGGGGGGGAAAAUGGGGCAGGGGGCAAAAGCCUGAACCAGAAAUGCCGGGGGGGUGAUGAAGGCCUGGGGGUUGUAAAGCUCUUUUACCCGGGAUGAUAAUAACAGAACCGGGAGAAUAAGCCCCGGCAAACCCCGU
rnacentral:rRNA from 1 species